rnacentral:rRNA from 1 species
CCUACGGGAGGCAGCAGUGGGGAAUAUUGGGCAAUGGGCGCAAGCCUGACCCAGCAACGCCGCGUGAAGGAAGAAGGCUUUCGGGUUGUAAACUUCUUUUGUCAGGGACGAAGCAAGUGACGGUACCUGACGAAUAAGCCACGGCUAACUACGUGCCAGCAGCCGCGGUAAUACGUAGGUGGCAAGCGUUAUCCGGAUUUAUGGGGUGGAAAGGGCGUGUAGGCGGGAAUGCAAGUCAGAUGGGAAAACGAUGGGCUCAACCCAUAGCCUGCAUGUGAAACUGUAUUUCUUGAGUGCUGGAGAGGCAAUCGGAAUUCGGUGUGUAGCGGUGAAAUGCGUAGAUAUACGGAGGAACACCAGUGGCGAAGGCGGAUUGCUGGACAGUAACUGACGCUGAGGCGCGAAAGCGUGGGGAGCAAACAGGAUUAGAUACCCGAGUAGUC